ensembl:snRNA U6 U6 spliceosomal RNA
GUGCUCGCUUUGGCAGCACAUAUGCUAAAAUUGGAACGAUACAGUGAAGAUUACAAUGGCCCCUGCGCAAGGAUGACAUGCAAAUGUGUGAAGUGUUCCAUAUUUAA